CCUACGGGUGGCAGCAGUGAGGAAUAUUGGUCAAUGGACGAAAGUCUGAACCAGCCAAGUAGCGUGAAGGAUGACUGCCCUAUGGGUUGUAAACUUCUUUUAUAUGGGAAUAAAACGUUCCACGUGUGGGAUUUUGUAUGUACCAUAUGAAUAAGGAUCGGCUAACUCCGUGCCAGCAGCCGCGGUAAUACGGAGGAUCAGAGCGUUAUCCGGAUUUAUUGGGUUUAAAGGGAGCGUAGGUGGAUUGUUAAGUCAGUUGUGAAAGUUUGCGGCUCAACCGUAAGAUUGCAGUUGAAACUGGCAGUCUUGAGUACAGUAGAGGUGGGCGGAAUUCGUGGUGUAGCGGUGAAAUGCUUAGAUAUCACGAAGAACUCCGAUUGCGAAGGCAGUUCACUGGACUGCAACUGACACUGAGGCUCGAAAGUGUGGGUAUCAAACAGGAUUAGAUACCCUUGUAGUC
rnacentral:rRNA from 1 species